CUAAGAACCUAAGCGCAAUUAGCACAAAAAUACACAUUUAGACCUAGAUCUAUAUAAUAAAGGUAAUGGCUAAUGCUGAAGGAGACGAAAAGUACACAAAAAGAACGCCUAAAGAGCUAAAGAGAGGACCAUCAGCCACAAUAACACAGAGAAAUUCAUCGGCGGGCCUCUUACCAUUGCUCCCCGUUUCUCAUCUCCUUCUUCCUCGAAAAACCCAAAACCAAAUAAAAAACCUAGUAGAAGUUUUCCAAAAAAAAAAACGUGAAAAAGGGGCCUUUCAUUCAUUGUCCAAUUAUUUCGAUUUAGCUCCUUUAGACAUGAAUUCCAUGUGGAUUCUGAGAUCUUGUAGCCUGAUUCGGCUGGCAUUUUAAUUUUCCGGUGAGGUUUUCCAUCGAGGUCGUCGUAUGUGGUCCGCGAGAUCCAAACAAUUUGUUGCUGGUUCAAAGCUGUUGAGCUCCGUUUUCAAGUCUUUUGAAGCUCUAUUUGGACGAAUUCUUGUUGGUUUCUCCACUGUCCAGCUUCUUCGGCUAAUUUUGAGUUGUGUUUUGUUGCUAGCUGUUUCUUGGAUGCCGGGUGGGGUUCCCCAACUCGAGGAUUGGGUCAGGAGCCUGAUAUUGUAAUCGACCCAUGCUGAACGUGCAUGGCAUGAUUUGGCAAAGGGUCGAUGGAAGGAUAGUACCCAUGGUCUUGGGAACGAGGUGAUGAUGAGGCCUCCGUCCGGUGAUGAAGAAAUUCCUCCCCUAUCAUCUGCUUCGAAGCUGGUUAGGGAGAAGAAGAGGAAAAGGACCUUGACUUCUGUGAACUCUGAGGGACAGAAGCCCAAAAAGAAAACAACCCGAAAACCCAAGGGAGGCGUCAUCAUAAGGGACUCAAUCCAUCGACUAUUGAAGGAGCCCGAAGAGGACGGAGAAGAAUAGAAUGAAGAUGAUUUCGGGCCGGUGUCCUAUGCUCGAGCUAGCACAGAGGUUCGAAGAACCUUGGAACCGAUGGGAGUCGAUAUUGCUCCGCCUAGGCUUAAUGAGGUCGAGGAGGAGACUUGGGCCCAAGUCCCCGAGCCAAGAGGGAAUGAAGAUGUUUUACAUCGGGGCAAAGAGAUCGUUGAAGAGGCGGUGGAGAUUGGUGCAGAAAUUGGGCUUGAGGCUCUGCAAGACGGAGGCAGUGCCUCAAAGGACCCACUUGGGGAAAUAGAUAUCGGGGGUUCCCCCUCAUUUUCUCCAAUUUAUGAUUCGAUGAUACGUGACGCUCAGGAUGUGGAGGCUUGUCACGAGGAAGGAGCCCACGUGGAGGAAGAUUUUUCUGUGGCUAUUUUGCUGAGGUAGAAGAUGUCACCGGUCUGGGUGACUUGGAUGUUCCAAAGAAGAGCUCGGGCGAGGCGUCCUCGAGUCUUAGACUGACCAAUCAGUUUUCGGACCCUAGUGCCGACCCUGGGCCCAAACGGUCGAUCGUUAUCUCGGCCCCAGAGGAUACUAAGGUCCUUUCUUCCCUAGUAGGGGUGGCUAGCUACCUCCGAUGUUUGGUGACCGAAGAGGAUCAGGCCGAGAUGAAUGCAGUGGAAAUACCCUACCUGUUUAAUGAAGCCUAACAGGCUCUAAACCGGGCUUCGGUGUUACAUCAUGAGGCCUUCCUCCGAUCCCGAGGGGAGAAAAUUUUGUACAAGGUCUAAAUCUGGGGCCUCACCGAGAAGGACACCUUCAAACUUCUUUGUGAGCAAAAAGAGAAAGAAGUUCAAGACCUUCGAGCUGAGUUGGAAAUGGCUCAAAAGAACACACCGACCUAACCGAGCAGGUAAAAAGAAUAUUUGAAGUUCAUGUUGGUGGAACGGGAAUGGUGACUGAUAAUCCAAAUCCGCAUGUUCAACAAAAACUUGAUGUGAUUAUCCAGCUCCAUGAAGAAAUAGGUGAAAUAAAAGCAGAGGCCGAAAGGAUGGAAAAAGAGCACGUCUGGCCUCAGAGAAGGAGACUGUCCGGGCUCAGCUGGCCUCGGCGGAAGUCCAACUCCGAAGUGUGAAAGAGAAGAGCUUGGCGCAAGCCAAGAAAAUCCAGGAGCUCCGGUCCGAGUUGGGUUCAGCAGGUUCUGUUCAGGUGAAACUGGUCAUUGAGCUUGAAGAGGCCAAAUCAGAGGCCAAGAAAACCAAAGCAGAUGUUGUUGCUGUGGUGGUUAUCUAUAUGUUAUUUUGAAGUAAAAGGCAAUAUCUGAAGAAUUUCUGUUAAAGAAUGCAAAGGUUUUGGAGAAGUCUCCGUUAUUUCGCCGGUAAUUACAUGCUAAUCGUCAGCAACUGGAGGCAAAGGUGACGGCAAGCGAGGACUGGAUACUGAUGCUUCUUCAACGAGACGAUAUUAGGGUUGUUCUUGAACAAAGACGACGUUGGGGGCAGAGCAACUUGAAUUUUUUGUUAAUAUAUUUCAAUGUAUUUCAAUAUAUCUCGUUGUAUUUCAUUGUAUUCACUUUCUUUUUUUUUCAUUG